rnacentral:rRNA from 1 species
AUUGAACGCUGGCGGCAUGCCUUACGCAUGCAAGUCGAACGGUAACAGGUCUUCGGAUGCUGACGAGUGGCGAACGGGUGAGUAAUACAUCGGAACGUGCCCGAUCGUGGGGGAUAACGAAGCGAAAGCUUUGCUAAUACCGCAUAAGAUCUACGGAUGAAAGCAGGGGACCGCAAGGCCUUGCGCGAACGGAGCGGCCGAUGGCAGAUUAGGUAGUUGGUGGGAUAAAAGCUUACCAAGCCGACGAUCUGUAGCUGGUCUGAGAGGACGACCAGCCACACUGGGACUGAGACACGGCCCAGACUCCUACGGGAGGCAGCAGUGGGGAAUUUUGGACAAUGGGCGAAAGCCUGAUCCAGCCAUGCCGCGUGCAGGAUGAAGGCCUUCGGGUUGUAAACUGCUUUUGUACGGAACGAAAAGACUCUGGUUAAUACCUGGGGUCCAUGACGGUACCGUAAGAAUAAGCACCGGCUAACUACGUG